CUGCAAUCAGCAAGCGAUAGCGCUCGGGCUUUUGCUCGGCGGCCUGACACGCGCCACCAUAAAACUGCACGUCUUUGCAUCCGUAGGACGCCGCCUGUCUACCACGAGUGAGCAAGGUGCACGGACAGGUCCCAGAUUAUCUGCAAAAUAUUUUCCUGUUGCAGGCACUAUGACUACACUUCGUCAGAUUUUUAUCAUUGCUGUACUGGUGGUGUGUCUGCUGGCCCUGAUCAUGGCAGCGCCAGCCAAGAAGUGCCCUAGCUUCUGCAAGAAAGAAUGCCUGAACCCAGUUCUUUGCCCACCACAGUGCCAGCACUGCAUGAUAGAUCUAUUGAUCUGAAGAGGCGAUGAGCUGCUUUAGGUGCUGAUGGAAGCCAAGUAAUAUAGGCACCCUGCAUCGGCCAGAUGGCACUACGACUCUUUCAGUUAUCACACCAGUGUCACCGACACCAGCCGCUAUUGCUGCUAUGAAAAUGAAAUAUUUGAAAAGCAAGGACACAGGCUCAUGCUUCAUCACUCGCAUGAGUGCUACACGCCGAGCUUUGCCGAUCUUGAUGGUCAAGAUUGGGGUCGUUCGUCCUGUUGUGUUCAAGCACGAUCAUGCCUUAUCAUCGCAGCACGGCCGGCGUAGCUUAACAGUGGCCGAUCCCGGGUUGCAGCGCUGCUGUCAACUGGAAAGCUUCAGCGCAGAGUGCCUAUAUAGGCUGUUGCAUCGCGAACGAACACAGCCGAAAGGUUGCUUCUCAAUCAACUCGAAACAUAUAUGAACUUUGAUACCAUUCUAGAUAUCCUUAAAAAGCAACUAACAAACGAGUCAUUAGACGAUACAAACAAAGUUAAGCAAUUUUUGUUGCGUUGUAAUGCAUAUGAGACUAAAUUGUUUUAUAUGGAUCGAAAGUAGUUGUUAUACAUUUCCUUGUAUUUACUGUUUCACAUAUUAGACAUUUGCACUGCACAUAAGUAAGGUCUCAUUGGAUGGAUGUUUUUGUUAGUGUUUAUUUUCUUUUCAUUAAUAUAAAUUAUAAAUGUACAACGUUCUUAUUUUUUUCAUUUGUUUACGACACGCUGAUUUAAUGACUGCAUGCUGCGAGAUGGUGUUACGCAAAAAUUUCAUAUUUUUUUGACACUAAGUGCAGAAAUCUCAGUCAUUGCUGUACCUUUAGCUUCUGCGCCUUUCUUCGUGUGAUUCAAAAAUACAAAAAAGCAUUUAGUCUUUUGCAUCUCUUCGUCUACUAGCUACUAGCGCUGAGCACAAUUUGCACAUUUUUCUCACAUUACAGCUAUAAUUAAAUAUUUUGUAUGUGUGGACUGCAAGUAAUAAAGAAUUGACAUGCCGUG